rnacentral:rRNA from 1 species
AACGAACGCUGGCGGCAUGCCUAACACAUGCAAGUCGAACGAGACCUUCGGGUCUAGUGGCGCACGGGUGCGUAACGCGUGGGAACCUGCCCUUAGGUUCGGAAUAACUCCCCGAAAGGGGUGCUAAUACCGGAUAAUGUCUUCGGACCAAAGAUUUAUCGCCUUUGGAUGGGCCCGCGUUGGAUUAGCUAGUUGGUAGGGUAAAAGCCUACCAAGGCGACGAUCCAUAGCUGGUCUGAGAGGAUGAUCAGCCACACUGGGACUGAGACACGGCCCAGACUCCUACGGGAGGCAGCAGUGGGGAAUAUUGGGCAAUGGGCGAAAGCCUGAUGCAGCAAUGCCGCGUGAGUGAUGAAGGCCUUAGGGUUGUAAAGCUCUUUUACCCGGGAUGAUAAUGACAGUACCGGGAGAAUAAGCUCCGGCUAACUCCGUG